AGAAUUUGGUGAUGGAUAGCGGCGGACGGGUGAGUAACGCGUGAGUAACCUGCCCUUAAGAGGGGGAUAACACAGAGAAAUUUGUGCUAAUACCGCAUAAUAUAUAUUUUCGGCAUCGGAGAUAUAUCAAAGAUUUAUCGCUUAAGGAUGGACUCGCGUCUGAUUAGAUAGUUGGUGAGGUAACGGCUCACCAAGUCGACGAUCAGUAGCCGAACUGAGAGGUUGAUCGGCCACAUUGGGACUGAGACACGGCCCAGACUCC
rnacentral:rRNA from 2 species